GUUGGGACCUUAUUCGCCAUGAAGCUCCUGGUUCUACUUCUGGCGGUCUUCGCAGCCUACUGCGUGCUGGGGGUGGACUUCCUGGUGAUGGCCCAGUUCGGACCGCCGCCGCCGCCGGGUUGUCGCGGGGGCGGAAGGGGGCCGGGGGGGUUCGGACCCCCGCCGCCUCCAGCCAACUCGUCUACCAACUCCAGCUCUUCUUAGAGGAUGCGCGAUAAUCCGGCGAUGCCACCACUUAAUCUCUACAGCAGCAGAGAGGCUGAUCCAGACAACGAGCUGCUACUACUAUUCUCCAACCACUAGUGAAUUGCACCUCAUGUAAAUAAAACUAUUUUAUUUUUCAUCGCAAAAA